GGGUAAACAUUAAGUGAUAGUGGUAAGAGAAAGGAACAGCACUGCAGCUUUCUGAUUGUAAGCUGCUGCCAGUCAUCUUGAAAGAUGUCUAACAUUUUGACAGAGGGGUUCAGGACCCAGCUGUCCGAAGCCAUGGACUCAAUCUUGAGAAACGCUGUGUUUGAGAUAAUGAAGAUCUUUGAGAACAGCCUACAUGAGCAUCAAAUGGCACUGGUGCAGAAAGGAGAAGAGAUUGUUCAACUCCAAAUAAAGCUGCAAAAAGCAGAAAUAAAGAUGGUAGAACGUGAGUGUGGAGAUGACAAAGGAGUGGCGAUAAAUGAAACUGAGAUAAUUGAAAUAAAGAGAAAGCCUGAAUAUGUUCUGAACACCUGUGGAGAAACUUUGGAUACUCCUGAGAUUGAUUUUGAAGUACCUGAUGAUUGGUGUGCUCCCCUCGGGUGCGAGACCCUGAUCAAGCAAGAUGAUGACGUGUGUCCCAGUGUAAGACUGCGUCCACUGUCCAUUCCUCUGUGGCACAUUCCAGAUGUGAAGGAGGUGGUGGACCGUGACGUUGACUUCCAAGAGCAAAUCAAGAGUUUUAGGAGAUCAAGCAGAGGUUCCUCAUUGAACAAGAAGCAGAAACACACUCAAAAGAGAAAUUUACCGACAGAUUCAAGUAAUACAGUUCUUAGAAGAAGAUUGAAGAAUUUAACCGGAAAAGAGCAAGAACUUGAAAGUAAAAAAAUGUACACCUGCAAGUUUUGUAAAAAGGUAUUUGAUACACCUUUUGGUCGAUCCGUGCAUGUGCGUUCACACAAAAGGUGCAAAGGUUGCAGAAAAGAUUUCCCUUUUCCAAGUAUUCUAAAGAGCCAUCAAGCAACUUGUAAAAAACUCAGAAAAUUGCUGGCAAGAAAAGCAGUGCUCACUAACUCACCAAAACCUGAGCACUUUGUUGAAGAAAAACCAAUAGCGCCAAGCAAAAAACAGGAGGAGAAAAGCCCGCUUGCUGCUAGCGACCUUGGUGAACCUUCGGUCCAGAACGAUGGAUUCACCAUAACUCAUUCCUGUGCUUUCUGCAACAAGACAUUUCGUACGAACUUCAGGCUUGAGGAGCAUAUACGUGUUCAUACUGGUGAAACGCCGUAUUCUUGCAGCAUGUGCCCAAAGAAAUUCCACAGUAAUCAUUCAUUCAAGAAUCACAUGACGAGAAUACACGCAGACCAGGUUCCUUCAAAUGGAGACCUUGCAUGGACAAAGCCUUUAGAGGACAUUGAAGAUAAUCCAGAGGAUUUGAUUUCUCCCAUAGAAGACACAGAUCGCGCAAUGAACCAUAAAAAUAAUCAGACAGAAUGCAGUCAAGACAUAAAGCCAGACAGUGUAUAAAACUUUAAUGGUUUCAUCUGCUUAUUUUGUCAGAAACCCAUAAAAACCAGUAGUCUGCUGAUUGAACGUUUUUGCAUCCUUGCAGGAGAGAGGCCUGAAAAAAUGUGAGAUGUUCAUACUAGUGAACAGCUAUAUAUGCACAGAAAAAAAUAUUGUUAUCCUGUGAUAGUGAUCCAUAAUCAGAACAGGACACCGCACCUCGGGACAUAAAAUUUCUGUUACAUGCAUGUGUCUAAUUAUAACAGAUAUCUAGCUGGCUCCCUACAAGGUUUGUGGAAAAGGCUUCUUCACUGAAUAUUGAUGCCUCAUUUACCACAUGGGGCAAUACCUUUACUAAAUUGGCAUACAGUUAGGAUCUCCUGCUUGUUGACAUUGAAACACUAAAUGUGAUUUCUUCUUUCACUGAUUGAUAAUGGGGUUUUCAGUGGAUUAAGCUCUUUAGUUUGAGAUGCAGUCAUGCAACAAUCAGAUUAGUGACAUCAGUAUUCCGUCUCUGUCAAAUAUUAAAAUAUGACUUUAAUUAGUAAAAGUAUAACAUACAUGUAAGACAAUUAGUAUAAGAGAGGGUGGUGGAUAAAUUGCAGCAAAUGAUCACAAUAAGUGAAAUCUUAUAUUGUGACCGUGACACACAUAUUUCAGGAAAUUCAAUUACAACACCAAUUAUAAGAAAACAAAAAUAUUGUGUAAUUUUGCUGAAUUCAUUGAAAUUAACAUUUGCUGAAAGUAAAUGUUCAGCUAUCUGUACAUGUUUGUCUACUGUUUGCCCUAAUUACACUUCGUGCUUUUAAGUCUGCAGGCUUUCAUUUGUAAAGUCUUUCCAGAUACUUGGAUUGGACAGAGUUUUGCUAUGUUAUUACAUCUGAUGCUGAAGCCAGAUUAAAAGUAAACAGUUUUUUACUGGUUUAACUGUAUUUAAUUCAGUUUGGAUUAUAUUGUUUUGUUACUGAUCUACUUGUAUGAGCCUGCUGUUGUUUUUGCUUUAAUAAAAU
rnacentral:lncRNA from 1 species